rnacentral:rRNA from 1 species
AAUCAACGCUGGCGGCGUGCCUAACACAUGCAAGUCGAACGCGCGGCCGGGGGCAACUCCGGUCGUGGCGUGGCAAACGGGUGAGUAACGCGUGGGUAACUUACCCUCGAGUGGGGAAUAACUCCGGGAAACCGGAGAUAAUACCGCAUACGAAGCUUGGGACGGGAGUCCUGGGUUUGAAAGACUUCGGUCGCUCGAGGCGAGGCCCGCGUCCGAUUAGCUAGUUGGGGAGGUAAGAGCUUCCCAAGGCGACGAUCGGUAGCCGGUCUGAGAGGAC